rnacentral:rRNA from 1 species
UACGUAGGGGGCAAGCGUUGUCCGGAUUUAUUGGGCGUAAAGAGCGUGUAGGCGGUUCGGUAGGUCCGUUGUGAAAACUCGAGGCUCAACCUCGAGACGCCGAUGGAAACCAUCGAACUAGAGUCCGGAAGAGGAGAGUGGAAUUCCUGGUGUAGCGGUGAAAUGCGCAGAUAUCAGGAAGAACACCCGUGGCUAAGGCGGCUCUCUAGUACGGUACUGACGCUGAGGUGCGAAAGCGUGGGGAGCAAACAGG